rnacentral:rRNA from 1 species
AUUGAACGCUGGCGGCAGGCCUAACACAUGCAAGUCGAGAGGAGCGGCGGACGGGUGAGUAAUGCCUAGGAAUCUGCCUGGUAGUGGGGGAUAACGUCCGGAAACGGGCGCUAAUACCGCAUACUAUCAGAUGAGCCUAGGUCGGAUUAGCUAGUGGGUGGGGUAAAGGACUACAAAGGCGACGAUCCGUAACUGGUGUGAGAGGAUGAUCAGUCACACUGGAACUGGUAAAUGGUCUAGACUCCUACGGGAGGCAGCAGUGGGGAAUAUUGGACAAGGGGCGAAAGCCUGAUCCAGCCAUUCCGCGUGUGUGAAGAAGGUCUUCGGAUUGUAAAGCACUUUAAGUUGGGAGGCGUUACCAACAGAGUAAGCACCGGCUAACUUCGUACCAGCAGCCGCGGUAAUUC